CGGAGUUUGGUGUCUCUGACAGGAGUGUUCCCUAAUAAUAAAACUGUUCAAAUAACGUUUGUAAUCAAAUAAACUGUUGGGCUACUCUACAGAUAUCUGUUUAAUAUGAGUGAAGACAGUGUAGACGCAAGAGAUGAAGAUUCAAGAGUUUUGCUUUGGUCUCAAGAUUCCUGCUGUGUGGCCCUCAAUCCCAGAAUGCCCUUGAAAGUGAGACAUUGUGGAAAUCUUUGGGACUUUUAUCUCUGGAGGAAAGAGACUUGAGGAGACGGAGCUCAUGAGAUCUUCUGUCCCACUUCAGUUCUGCUGUGUUUCAUUACAGAAGUGCUUUAGCCGAAGACCCGAGCAGAAUGUUCCAGCAUGUAUGAUGCAGUGCGCAUGCAGACGGUCAUUUGCCUCUCUUAGUUUCAAUCCUGUUUUCUUAAUGUAAUGCACAUCUACAGUAGCUAACUGUGGAGCAGAGAGAGAGAAUUGAGCGGCUUCAGUGUCAGUGAGUCUUAAGUGAGGAGGUUUUGACUCCAAAAGAGUUUCUGGGAUCUUUUACCCCUGUCAACAACACCCCUAACAUACUACAUCACAUACACAGAUGUGACACAGAGUUGUGUGUGUGUGCACGUGUGUGUGUGCACGCAGCAGUUUAACUUUGAAAGCUGAGUCUCAGUCACUGUGAUGUUAUAAAGGAUAAGUGUGAUGUGUCCGUUGGUAGAUUUCAUGUCGUGUAAUGAACAGACUGUAAUGUUUCACGGGCAGAUGACCGUCCACCCCAUCACAUCAUGAAAAAUCACUGACCCUCCUCAUCCAAGACCGC